rfam:Picea glauca, whole genome shotgun sequence.
GUAGCAAGCUAAAUGGGAUUGAUUGUGGGGAAAAUCUCUACAGUUAAGCACGCUUGAGCCAGAGGAGUAUUGGGAUGGGUGACCACCUGGGAAGUCUUGGUUACCGGGUGCA